rnacentral:tRNA from 1 species
GAGGGUAUACCUCAGUGGUAGAGAGUGUGCUUAGCAUGCACAAGGUCCUGGGUUCAGUCCCCAGUCCCUCCA